rnacentral:rRNA from 1 species
GACGAACGCUGGCGGCGUGCCUAAUACAUGCAAGUAGAACGCUGAAGAGAGGAGCUUGCUCUUCUUGGAAGAGUUGCGAACGGGUGAGUAACGCGUAGGUAACCUGCCUUGUAGCGGGGGAUAACUAUUGGAAACGAUAGCUAAUACCGCAUAAUAGUAGAUGUUGCAUGACAUUUGCUUAAAAGGUGCAAUUGCAUCACUACCAGAUGGACCUGCGUUGUAUUAGCUAGUAGGUGAAGUAACGGCUCACCUAGGCGACGAUACAUAGCCGACCUGAGAGGGUGAUCGGCCACACUGGGACUGAGACACGGCCCAGACUCCUACGGGAGGCAGCAGUAGGGAAUCUUCGGCAAUGGGGGCAACCCUGACCGAGCAACGCCGCGUGAGUGAAGAAGGUUUUCGGAUCGUAAAGCUCUGUUGUAAGUCAAGAACGAGUGUGAGAGUGGAAAGUUCACACUGUGACGGUAGCUUACCAGAAAGGGACGGCUAACUACGUGCCAGCAGCCGCGGUAAUACGUAGGUCCCGAGCGUUGUCCGGAUUUAUUGGGCGUAAAGCGAGCGCAGGCGGUUUGAUAAGUCUGAAGUUAAAGGCUGUGGCUCAACCAUAGUUUGCUUUGGAAACUGUCAAACUUGAGUGCAGAAGGGGAGAGUGGAAUUCCAUGUGUAGCGGUGAAAUGCGUAGAUAUAUGGAGGAACACCGGUGGCGAAAGCGGCUCUCUGGUCUGUAACUGACGCUGAGGCUCGAAAGCGUGGGGAGCGAACAGG